rnacentral:rRNA from 1 species
UACGUAGGGCGCGAGCGUUGUCCGGAAUUAUUGGGCGUAAAGAGCUCGUAGGCGGCCUGUUGCGUCUGCUGUGAAAUCCCGGGGCUCAACCCCGGGCGUGCAGUGGAUACGGGCGGGCUAGAGGCAGGCAGGGGAGAACGGAAUUCCCGGUGUAGCGGUGAAAUGCGCAGAUAUCGGGAGGAACACCGGUGGCGAAGGCGGUUCUCUGGGCCUGUUCUGACGCUGAGGAGCGAAAGCAUGGGGGAGCGAACAGG